GAGUGACAGGAAGGUGAACAGAGUGAGCCAAUUAGACGUUGACUAUAACACACGUGGAGCUUGUUCACUCUGGACUUUACUACUGUGAUGGAAAACCUGCUGUGUAUCUGAAUGUGACCAAAGAAGAUUACGACACAGGACCGACAGAAAUAUCAUCUGCAAAUACAGCAGCAACAACUGAAACAACCUUCCCAUCAUGGACUCUGACAGAAACAGCGACUCCUUAUCUGUGGCAAAUGAUUGUUCGUUCCGUGAUUGGAUUCCUCUAUUUGACCACCAUGAUCGGCAUCACUGUCACCACCUGGAGAAAAGCUCGACAAAUAGAGGCGAACAGUCAUCAUUCAACACUGUGACCAACACCACCUGUCAAUUUAUGAUCGUUACAUGAAAACAGUCUUUUCAAAAUAAACUUCCAUUUUCAAAGUAGUUUUAGGCAACAAAAAUACUUAGUUAGGUUUAGUAAAAGAUGGUGAAAUACAUUUUAUAUUGUUAUUUGUGCUCAGCAGUGUUGUGAUUAAAGGAAUAUUUUA